rnacentral:rRNA from 1 species
GGAUUAGAUACCCUGGUAGUCCCAGCAGUAAACGGUGUGAGCUUGAUGUGGGGGGAUUCGACCCCUUCCGUGUCGAAGCUAACGCGAUAAGCUCACCGCCUGGGAAGUACGGCCGCAAGGCUAAAACUCAAAGAAAUUGACGGGGACCCGCACAAGCGGUGGAGUAUGUGGCUUAAUUCGAUGCAACGCGAAGAACCUUACCUGGCCUUGACAUGUAUCUCUAAGCCGGUGAAAGCCGGUGAGUUUGCCGAAAGGUAAACAAUUUACACAGGUGCUGCAUGGCUGUCGUCAGCUCGUGUCG